rnacentral:tRNA from 2 species
AGGGUAUUAGUUAAAAAAUAACAUUUAUUUUGCAAAUAAAAAUUAAAAUUAAUUAAAUUUAUAUCUUU